AGAGUUUGAUCAUGGCUCAGGACGAACGCUGGCGGCGUGCUUAACACAUGCAAGUCGAACGAUGAACCACUUCGGUGGGGAUUAGUGGCGAAUGGGUGAGUAACACGUGGGCAAUCUGCCCUGCACUCUGGGACAAGCCCUGGAAACGGGGUCUAAUACCGGAUACUGAUCGCCUUGGGCAUCCUUGGUGAUCGAAAGCUCCGGCGGUGCAGGAUGAGCCCGCGGCCUAUCAGCUUGUUGGUGAGGUAAUGGCUCACCAAGGCGACGACGGGUAGCCGGCCUGAGAGGGCGACCGGCCACACUGGGACUGAGACACGGCCCAGACUCCUACGGGAGGCAGCAGUGGGGAAUAUUGCACAAUGGGCGAAAGCCUGAUGCAGCGACGCCGCGUGAGGGAUGACGGCCUUCGGGUUGUAAACCUCUUUCAGCAGGGAAGAAGCGAAAGUGACGGUACCUGCAGAAGAAGCGCCGGCUAACUACGUGCCAGCAGCCGCGGUAAUACGUAGGGCGCGAGCGUUGUCCGGAAUUAUUGGGCGUAAAGAGCUCGUAGGCGGCUUGUCGCGUCGGUUGUGAAAGCCCGGGGCUUAACCCCGGGUCUGCUGUCGAUACGGGCAGGCUAGAGUUCGGUAGGGGAGAUCGGAAUUCCUGGUGUAGCGGUGAAAUGCGCAGAUAUCAGGAGGAACACCGGUGGCGAAGGCGGAUCUCUGGGCCGAUACUGACGCU
rnacentral:rRNA from 1 species